rnacentral:lncRNA from 1 species
CCACUCCUGAGCUUAGUGGGUUUCUAAGAAAAUAGAAUUGAAAGAAGAACUUGAAUCAGAAAUAAAAGGAAUUCUCUCACCACAUUUUUCAGGGACUCAAGAAAGCAAAAUUUCAUCAGAAUAGAUUUGAGAAAACAAUAUCCAAUCAGGUGGAUUUGAUUCACUUAUUCAUUUUAUAGUUGCAUUUUCAAAUUUGAAGAAUUUUGCAUUAUUCCUAGUUUUUAAUUUGGACUGAAUAUAGUCCUAAGAGAUCUGAAAAACAGAUAUAUUUUGAAGAUUGGCUUAUACAUUCAUAGGAAACCCAGGAAGUGAGUAGACACUAAAUCCUAGAGAUAAUGAAGUUUUCUAACUGAAACAGCUUGUUUUCUUAGUAAAUUCAGACUGACAAUGGAAAGCAAAAUAAACUGAAACGUCAGAAUUGAGAGAGCCGUCUAGAGAAUUCCAGCAUCCCACUUGUCAGCUGGUAGAGUCUAUUUGUGGCCGUGUUCCACGCCUGCAGGAGAAGAAAGCGGUGACCACACUCAAUCUAAAAUGGAGGAAUCCACAAUCAGCUAGAUCCAGAUCAGCCAUAUACACACAACCUGAGCUAUGAAAAACAUGAACAAUGUAUCAGAAUUCAUCCUGCUGGGCCUCACUCACAAUCCAGAACUGCAGAAACUCUUGUUUAUUAUGUUUUUAAUCACCUACUUGAUCACAUUGGCAGUUACAAAUGAGAGAGCUGGUGGGAGCCACUGGGAGAUGCCUGAGCAGAACUAAGUUUAGAAGCUCUGAUGAAUGAAAGAUCCCAUCCUGUUCUGGUCCUCUGAAAGAAGGAGAAAGAAGAGUCAGUGCCAGGGACCAGAAGAUCUGUCUCUGUACUGAGCUCGUGGUUCCUGUGGGAGAGCCCAGAAACAUGUUUUCAGGAGAGCAUUUCUAACUUAUGGAGUUGCACAUCACCAGAUACGGACAUUUUCUGUGUUCUCAGGACUUUAUAUCAGGCCACAUCUUGCAUACAAUGCCUUUUUAAAAAUAAAUGCAUUGUCAUAAUUUCCUAUCAGUGCCUAUUUUGUAAAUACAUGCAAGCAACAGUACGUUUUUUAAAAGUAAAUGUAUCCUUUUAAAAUGUAGUUGUGUAUCAUUUGACCCAGCAAUCCCAUUACUGGGUAUAUAACCAAAGGAUUAUAAAUCAUGCUACUAUAAAGACACAUGCACACGUAUGUUUACUGCGGCAGUAUUCACAACAGCAAAGACUUGGAACCAACCCAAAUGCCCAUCAGUGAUAGACUGGAUAAAGAAAAUGUGGCAUAUAUACACCGUGGAAUACUAUGCAGCCAUAAAAAAAGGAUGAG